AGAGUUUGAUCCUGGCUCAGGAUGAACGCUAGCUACAGGCUUAACACAUGCAAGUCGAGGGGCAGCGGGAGCAAAGCUUGCUUUGCUUGCCGGCGACCGGCGCACGGGUGAGUAACGCGUAUCCGACCUGCCCAUGACUCGGGCACAGCCGCUCGAAAGAGCGAUUGAUUCCCGAUACGUCGUAUGAGUAGAUCAUAUGAUGAAAGAUUCAUCGGUCAUGGAUGGGGAUGCGUAGGAUUAGGUAGUAGGCGGGGUAACGGCCCACCUAGCCGACGAUCCUUAGGGGUUCUGAGAGGAAGGUCCCCCACACUGGAACUGAGACACGGUCCAGACUCCUACGGGAGGCAGCAGUGAGGAAUAUUGGUCAAUGGGCGGGAGCCUGAACCAGCCAAGUAGCGUGAAGGAUGACUGCCCUACGGGUUGUAAACUUCUUUUGUUUGGGAAUAAAAGACGCUACGUGUAGCGUUCUGCAUGUACCUUACGAAUAAGCAUCGGCUAAUUCCGUGCCAGCAGCCGCGGUAAUACGGAAGAUGCGAGCGUUAUCCGGAUUUAUUGGGUUUAAAGGGAGCGUAGGCGGGCUGUUAAGUCAGCGGUAAAAUGUCAAGGCCCAACCUUGUCCUGCCGUUGAAACUGGCGGUCUUGAAUGCACACAAGGGAGAUGGAAUUCGUCGUGUAGCGGUGAAAUGCUUAGAUAUGACGAAGAACUCCGAUUGCGAAGGCAGUCUCCUGGGGUGUAAUUGACGCUGAGGCUCGAAAGUGCGGGUAUCGAACAGGAUUAGAUACCCUGGUAGUCCGCACAGUAAACGAUGAAUGCUGGUUCUUGGCGAUAUACGGUCAGGAACUGAGGAAAACCAUUAAGCAUUCCACCUGGGGAGUACGCCGGCAACGGUGAAACUCAAAGGAAUUGACGGGGGCCCGCACAAGCGGAGGAACAUGUGGUUUAAUUCGAUGAUACGCGAGGAACCUUACCCGGGCUUGAAUUGCAGCUGCAUGGGGCAGAGAUGCCCCUUCCCUUCGGGGCUGCUGUGAAGGUGCUGCAUGGUUGUCGUCAGCUCGUGCCGUGAGGUGUCGGCUUAAGUGCCAUAACGAGCGCAACCCUUGCUGUCAGUUGCCAUCAGGUAAUGCUGGGCACUCUGGCGGGACUGCCAUCGCAAGAUGUGAGGAAGGUGGGGAUGACGUCAAAUCAGCACGGCCCUUACGUCCGGGGCUACACACGUGUUACAAUGGGGAGUACAGAAAGCCGCUUCAUGGCGACAUGAGGCCAAUCAUAAAAGCUCCUCUCAGUUCGGACUGGAGUCUGCAACCCGACUCCACGAAGCUGGAUUCGCUAGUAAUCGCGCAUCAGCCAUGGCGCGGUGAAUACGUUCCCGGGCCUUGCACUCACCGCCCGUCA
rnacentral:rRNA from 1 species